rnacentral:rRNA from 1 species
UACGAAGGGGGCUAGCGUUGCUCGGAAUGACUGGGCGUAAAGGGCGCGUAGGCGGCUUAUACAGUCAGGCGUGAAAUUCCUGGGCUCAACCUGGGGACUGCGUCUGAUACGUAUGGGCUUGAGUGUGAAAGAGGGUCGUGGAAUUUCCAGUGUAGAGGUGAAAUUCGUAGAUAUUGGAAAGAACACCGGUGGCGAAGGCGGCGACCUGGUUCAUUACUGACGCUGAGGCUUAGAUACCCUGGUAGUCCACGCCGUAAACGAUGUCGACUUGGAGGUUGUGCCCAUGAGGCGUGGCUUCCGGAGCUAACGCGUUAAGUCGACCGCCUGGGGAGUACGGCCGCAAGGUUAAAACUCAAAUGAAUUGACGGGGGCCCGCACAAG